AGGAGUUGGGGCGGGGGACCCGGCGGGGCAUUGCGGGAGAAGGCCUGGGAGCCCUGGGAGCCUUGUAGCGUGGGGGAGUUCACUGUGUAGAGAGGUUUCAUGUCUUCAUCUAUACAGUCACUUAUUUGUCUCAAAGUUCUCGAAAUUCCCUCUUAGAGAAGGAGAAAGUUAGAGAACUGGAGGCUGCGUACCCUGAUUGCGCAGAAGGGAAGCAGCCUCGCAUUCCCCGGGGCAGGCCCCCCCAUCCCCCGCCCCGCGCGUCCCGCCAGUAGGGGAAUUUAGCGGAGGGCUGCGGUUGUCUGGUGAAAGGCUAUCCAAGAAUAAGGGGCUUCACUUUUCCCAAUGUUCCCUUCUUUUCGCCAGGUUUGCAUCCAAGAGAGGGGAGGACAGGGGCUAAAGGAUGCAGGGAGGCUGCUGAUUUCCACUGAAGAGCUAAUUUCCUGUGAGACAUUAACAGUGAUUUAAGAAAAAGAUUCCUGUAACUGUAAUGUCUUACAAUAACAGAAUGCAGGAGAGCACAUAUCAAUGAAGAAAAGACAAAAUGUACUUAUCCAUGAAGCUGAGGUUAAGAAACCAGUGUCUUCAAGAGCCAAGGACAGCACUGGGUCUGUGCAGAGUUGAGAGAUGGUGAUGACAUGUGGUUUCCAGCAUUCCUCACCCAGUCCAGGGACACUGUGGGUGUGCCCAGCUUAAGUCCAGUAACUGGAAAUACAAGCCCAAGUUCUGGAGAGUUUGAGCUGCAGAGAUAUAUAUGGGAACACUUUGAACCUUGACUCAUUGGCCAUAACCAGCAGAGUGGAAAAUACAAGAAGAGAAAAAAACAUUGAACUGCGAUUUUAUAACAUCCUUUACUCGGCAGAGAGAAGAGGAAACACCAGGAAAGAAAACUGUAUUACGAUGUGAAAACUUAACGUUGAGAAAUUCAGGCAUCUUGGGGUUAGUGAGGAGAAGUUUUAGGGGCUUAGAUUCUUCAAAACACAUGUACAGAAAUGCAUAUUUCAUCUGAUAUCAAAUGACAUUUAUAGUGCUAAUCUUUACCUCAAGACUUCACAUCUUUUGGUGAUUGCAUCUUUUAGGUUUAUAGCAGCUAAGUUUGCAUGAAAACACCAGGGCUGUUUCAUUUCAGUCAAGAAUUAAUGUUCAUUGAUUGUGCUUCUGCAUUUCAUGUAACUAUUGUAGAAUUUGUUUUAGUUUUAUGAGGGAAUAAUUGGUCCAACUUCUAUAUAACUCAGGAAUUUACUCUCAAACAACACUGUCAAUUAGUUACUUAUCUCUCUGGAAAUGAUCUGGGAACAUGGAGAGGAAAGGGAGGAAGGGGCAAAAUCUGACCACUUAAAUCUAAGCAUAUUAGAUCAUUUUAUGCUAGAAAGUCCUGAAUGAUGUGACUUUUGUUCUUGUAAAACACCUCUUUCCAUAGAUUCAUGGCCCAAACAGUAUAUAAAGAGUGGGGAAGGAACUGCAUUUGCAAAUAGUUCAAAUCAUUGCUCCAUCUUAACUAUGCAGUUCACAAAGUGUGAAGAAAUUUGAUCAUCUCAGAUCAAAAAAGAUAAUGGGAAAAAAUAUGUUUUGUUCUGUGACUUUAAAGUCUUGCAAUAUUUUACAUAAAUGAUAAUGGGUGCUUUAAUAAGAACCCUUGAUACUUUUGUUAUUGUAUUCAAUAUAUGCAUAUAAUACAACAGGAUGAUAUUGUUUUGGAUUUGGAAAUGUAUUCUUUCUUAUGCAAUCUUAUGCAGUCAUACUGCUUGAAUAUCAUUACCUGAAUUUAUCUUUCUUUUUUUUGUUGUUGUUGUUUUACACUCUACUUAUUUGGUGCCUGUCAGUCUUUUGUCAUCAGUUUAUAUUCUACUAAACUCAAAAAGACAAUCUCAUACCUUUUGUAAUUGUAGGCAUUCUUUACUAGAUUUUUAAAUACACUUCAAAAAUUCAAGUACUUUGAUUUCAUGCCAUCAAGUAGCUGAAUCUAUCCCCCCCCCCCUUUUUAAAUUUAAGUGAGUAGUUCAAUUUCUGUCACUUUCUACUUUGUGAAUUCUAAAUCUUUUAAAACCAUCUUGCCAUUUUUCGUGCACUUACCCUUACAGAAAACUCUGUGAAACACUACUUAUCUCUACUUUUAUGUUUUUAACUCCUUUUUUAUAUUACUAUUCCCUCUGCUUUCUAAAUGCACAUAUUAAUUUGUUCUUUUUAUACUCUGUAGCUCUUCUCAGUAUAUGAAUUCAGUUUCCCAUCAGUCUCCAUACAAUUUUAAAAAAGUUGAGUAUUCUGUUAUUUUAAUAUGAUAUCUAGUGCCCAUAUAUUAAUUCUGCCUCUUAUUUUUAAAAUAAUUUUAUUGUUGAUUUAAAACGACAACAGUUUCAAUUCCCAGAAAGUGAAAGGAAACAAAGGAAUAAUAUUAUGGGCUUAAUUUUUAUCAGUGAACUUGUAGGUGAAGAAAAGAUUUGGGGAAGGAAAUGAACAUAUUAUAUUGCCAAAUAGUAAGGAACAAUCAGAUGUGUUUUCUAGUCUCUGGAAAAGCAUGUUUCAAGAAAUUCAAUGAAAAGUUCAUCAUGCUUGCUUAGAUUGUUGAGAAGCAAAAAUGCUGAUGAACAUUUGGAAGCAAUGAGAAUGUAAUUCUAAUCAUACUAUUUUAAUAAUGUUGCAAAACUCUCCAAACACUACUCUGUGUGGAUGUCUUUCAGAAUAUGAUGAAUACUAGUAGUCUUAUUCUGCCCUUUUCUCUCUAUCACAAUAUAUACAUUGUAUAUUGCAUACACAUAUUUUCCAAAUAUUACAUAUAAUUUCAUGUAAUUUAUAGACCUAUUAAGGCCCAACCAUUUUCUUGGAUAGGGGAUUCUUUAGAAGUCCAGCUUAAAUAAAGCCCUUAUAGAAAGUUUUUUUAAAAUUUAUACAUAAUCACCUAAAGUAACCUUAUCUACUGAACUCUUAGUACAUGCUAUCGGAACCUUUUAUCACGUUUCUUCCUGGCUUGCAUUACAACACUGUUGACAUAUCUCAGCCUUACUUCUAGGCUUCUUUGAGAGCAUGACUCAUGUUUGUAUUCCUCACUGAGGUUGAAUGAAUAAGAGAAACUACAGUAGUAGGAAAAAACAGUACAUGUAGAUAUCAAUGAAUAUGAAAGGGUCAAAUGGAUCUAUUACAGUAAGCACAAAAUCAACUGACACCAGCAAAGUAAACCCAAAAUUUUUAAUGGUAUUUUAAUAGAUCAAGAGGAACAAGCAGAUUUUUGAGACAGUUGUCUCCUACUUUCUCUAUCACAGGGAGUAAUUUUAAAAGAAAAAUGGAGGGUAAGUUUCUUUAAGAGAAAAUUGUAGUUUAAAACAGGUCAUGGGAUAAUUAGAAAUAAUUUAAUUUCUUUAGAGGAUUUUAAUCUUUCAACUGCUUGCAAUUAGAUCCUAAGGCAAUAAAAGAAUAAGGAGAUUUGGAAAACCAUUGUCUGUAAUCUCUGAAGAAAAGUGGACAUUAGGGGAGUCAGUUGAAAAGCAAAGCUAUCACCAUUUUCUAAAGAGGAAAAAGGUGAACCUCACAAACUAUAGACCAAAAAAAUAGGACAUCGAGAGAAAGAAUAUGAAGCUAGCAUAGAUUCACAAAGAAUGAGUCAAAUCAAACAACAUGCAUUUUUUAUUUAUAAAGCAUGACUUGUUCAUUAUCAAUUCAUGUUAGCUUAAUCAUUAGGCAUUAAUGCCAUCACUGCAAUGCAUAUGUCCGCAAUAAAUAAUCAAAGACCAGGCUUCCAUCAUUCUGUUUAAUAUCUUCAAGUAAUGCUUAAGUUUGCAAAUGCUCUUUUAACACAUUCUCCAUAUGCAGCCUGCCCAGCACUGCACACAAUAGACCUGUUACUUCCCCCUCACGAGCACUCCUAAUAUUUCAUGUGCUCAUCCAAUUGACUUCUCCCACUGGUGCCUCAUAUUGAAUUUGUAGAAUCACACCUGCUCCUUUUUCAAAACUCUUCUGAGUUUUUUCUUAAAUAAUUCACUGACCCCAAAGUUGUCAGAUAUUUGAAGACUACUCGCACAAUUUUAAUAUUAUAAAUGUAUAAUGUAAAUGUAAUUAAGAUUUGUAUAAUGUACGAUGUACUUUGGUAAAUAAAAGUAUGCUGUGAAUAAAUACGUAUGAUACAAUUCAAAAUUUUACAUAAAUAUGUGAUAAAAUUUAGCUCAUAUUCUUUUUUUUUUUUCUUUGAGACGGAGUCUCACUCUGUCGCACCCAGGCUGGAGUGCAGCAGCAUGAUCUCAGCUCACUGCAACCUCUACCUCCUGGGUUCAAACGAUUCUCCUGCCUCAGCCUCCUGAGUAGCUGGGAUUACAGGUGCCCACCACCAUGCCCAGCUAAUUUUUUUCUAUUUUUGUUGUUGUUGUUUUUAGUAGAGACGGGGUUUCACCAUUUUGGUCAGGCUGGUCUUGAACUCCUGACCUCAGAUAAUCCACCUGCCUCGGCCUCCCAAAGUUCUGGGAUUACAGACGUGAACCACCGUGCCCGGCCUAGUUCAUGUUCUUUAAGGACAAUUAUGAAUAUUUUUAUGCACUGUUAAUUUUCAUUAAGAUAUUGAUCAAUUAAUAGCUAUAUAUGUUCUAUAAAUUAAUCCUAUCUAGUUUCAAUCUUAAAUUGUUUGCAUAUACUAAUCUAGUUUAUUGUUUGCAUAUAUUUUAUAGUGUAGAGAUUAGGCAUUUUAAUAAAAUUUUAAAAUUUCCAGGACAUACUGUUAAUGACUAUGCUUCCUACUAUAGGCCAUAAUUAAUUUUUUUCUAUUGUCAACAAUAUUUUGGUAGGGAUGAUCAGGAAAUAAGGAAAUGUUUCCUUCAUUUGUUAACAAUAGGUGUUUGGGGAUUUUAAAAUGAAAAUUGAAGAAGUAAAAGACACCAUAUAUUUAGUUUGUUUGAUUUUGUGGCUUCAAGAGUUCAAUAAUUUAUUGAAAUAUUUUACAGACCAAAGAACAACAGAUAUAUUACGUUUAUAAGCCCCCACAUAUUUUAAAGGAUAAUGGUUUAUAUAUGAAAAUUCCCUGAACCUACACUUCAUCAGGAAAAGCUAAAUAAAAGAAGUUUACAUUUCCUAGGACUAAUGGAGAUUUAUUUCCCAGUCCUCUUCUCUGGAGACAAAUGUAGGUCUCUCUUGAAAAGCAGAAAGAUUUGCAUAUGAGGUAUGAUUUAGUGGACUAGAAACAUCUUUUCCACCCUCCCCAAAAUGUUUCACUAUGUUUUAUCAUACUAUCUGAUAAUUUUGCACUAAAGUUUUCUUUCUGUGUUAAGAAAAUGCAAAUAUCUCUGAAUGGGUCUCUUUGCUUUAGUCAUACUCAUAUGGCUACUACUGAACAAAAUAUGUUCAUUACAGGAUGAAGGGAAUGUUGCCAGCCAGCAAAUCCCUAGAGUCUGCACUACACCAAACGUUGCUUAGCAAUUUCCACGAUUUUCUCAGUCUAAUUUGCAAGAAUCAAGGAGAUGUUUGUGUAUGCUACAUGAAGUUGUAAAAUUGGUAUUUAUUGUAUGUUUCUAUAUUGAAAGCUUUACAAACAAAGGAAAUGGAAAGUUAACAGGUGGAUAUGAUAGUGUGGCACUACUUUAGCUGGAUGGUAAGGGAGAGCUUCUCUUAGGAAGUGUUUUAGGCCAGGACUUGAAUAAUGAACAGUAUCUAGUUGUACAAAAAUCUGGAGGAAAGACUUUUCAGGCCCAGGAGAAAUGAAAAUUCUUUUCAUGCAUACAAGAAUGAAAGUGAAAAUUACCUACUCUAUGUCCUGAAGUGGGAAGUUGGCUUGCCAGAGAGUAGGUAAUUUUCACUUUGAUUCUUUCAUGCCUUCAGUUAUACUACUUCUUAGGUUAGUUCAUAAGGGCUUCCACAAUUUGGUUCCCACUUAAAAUUUAAAACUUCCCUAACCCAUUCCCACCAUAUAUUGUGCUAAUCCAUGCAUAUGUGACUUGGCGUAUGCUGUUUUCAUUGUUUAAUAUUCUUCUCAUGCAUUCUUUCUUUCCUGAUAAUGAACUCAUCUUUGAAACUCCCCUUCAAGCAUCCUCUCCUUUAGGAGGCCGCUUCUCACUGUCUCCUGCCUACCACCCAUUGAAUUGUUCAAUUUUUAAGCUGCCAUUGUCUUGUGCAGUUGACACAUUUCUUUGCAAUUACUGAUUUACAUGUCUGCUUUUAUCACUGGUGAGGUUCUUUAGGAGAGAGACAUUAUUAAUUCAUCUCUGGGCACAUAUGUUCCAACAUAUUAGAAGUACUACAGAGUGCUAUUACUAUGUAGUAUGUAGUAUUAGUAGUAGUUACUCACAAAUCAUUUUUAAAUAAGUGAUUAUAAUAUCUUUUUGUUAUUAUGAUUUAACACAAGAUAGAAUUUAUUUUCAGAAGUUUCCAUGAUAUAUUUGUUCUAUUUAAAAUCCAAUAGCCAUUAGAAUAUUACCAUUAUUUAAUGUAAAACAAUAAAAUAUUAAAUAUGAUCAUUCAUAUUUAAUGCAAACCGAACUCAUGGAAAUAUUGUGUAAAGAUCAAGUAAUUUUUGACAUACAAUUUUAAACUCAACUUUUCAUAUAGCAUACCUUAUGAUAUAUUUUCAGCCUACUUUUAAAUAUGUUGGCAUUGAAAGCCAGUUACUAAUUCGCUGAAUUCAUGAUUUCUUUUUAAGUUAUAGAAGUGGAAUUAUGUUUGAGACAUUCAUUGCAUUACAUUUACCAGAACUUGAGUUCUUAACAUGGAACCUGAGAGUUUCUCCAAUUCUUAAGUCCCUGGGAGAAAUAGAUUAGCUGGAUGAGGAACUGAGAGGAAAAAUGGUCAGAGAUGUAGCAAGAGUUGGGAAGAAGGAACAAUGAUUUGCUUUCAAGGAGAUUUUUUCAUUGGUCUGUUUUCAGUGACAAACCCACUGCGAUAAUACAUGUAAAGUGAAAACAUUCAGGAAGUUCCCUUAGAAACCUUUUUUCUGGCAGUUCCUAAUUCUACAACAUUGUAUAAGUGAAAUACCAUAGUUACUGUCAUAGUAAAUUGAGCCAAGAGAAACAAGAGAGCAGGAGAAGAAAAGAAUUAAAGAGAGUUUUGUCUUUCAGUCUUCACUCUGUUUCUUCUUGCUUUUACCAGUCAUUCAGCUUUAUAUAAUUUCUUUAGAGAGGCUUCUACUAUGCAGGUCUUCCUUAAAGUCAUUGGUAUUACCUGGCAUGAUAUGUGAGCCUUUAAUAUCAGUCCCUUUAUCUCUUUAUUUUUAAAGUUUAUAUCAGUACGGAGUCCUGGAUUCUUAAUUAAUUUAAUAGGUUAGACUUUACUGCUAACAUUCUUCAUUUUGAUGCUCAAAUUUUCCAAAAUUUGGCCAGCAGGGUUCCUUAAAGCUGGGUACCUUGCCCUUUCAACAUGUCCCUCUGAUUCUUUAUAUUUAUUUAUUUAUUUAUUUAGAGACUGAGUCUUGCUCUGUCUCCCAGGCUGGAGUGCAAUGGCACAAUCUUGGCUCACUGCAACCUCUAUCUCCCAGGUUCAAGCAAUUCUCCUCCCUCAGCCUCCCGAGCAACUGGGACUACAGGCAUGUGCAACCAUGCCUGGCUAUUUUUUUUGUAUUUUUAGUAGAGACAGGGUUUCACCAUGUUGGUCAGGCUGGCCUCGAUCUCCUGACCUCAAAUGAUCCAUCGCCUCGGCCUCCCAAAGUGCUGGGAUUACAGGCGUGAGCUGCCACACCCAGCCGUCCCUCUCAUUCUUUAAGUACUUCCAUGUUUUCUAAGGUACAAGAUGUUCCAUAUUAUUUUGUUAUUUGUCUUCCCCAGCUCUGAAAUCUGCCUUUCCUUCAAGGAGCCUUGGUUCUUUCUAGUGACAAAUUAUAUUUAGAAACGAAGAUCUGGGUAUUUGACUUGUAUAUUGCUAUUAAUUGGCCAUUGUUUCUAGUCUCUUUCAGUAGAAAGAGCUAAGAAAUGUAAAAGGAAAUAUUUGAAUGUAUGUAUAUGUGAUAUAUUAAGUACAUUUAAACAUAUUAAAUUCAUGAGUUCAUACUAAUACUUUCAAUAAGCCACAAUUCCCUUUUCAUGUUUUCGAAGGAAAAAUAUCCAUUGUCUAUAUACAGUGGACAUAGAUAGUAAGAAUACUGAUCUUGAAAAGAGCAGUCUUAAAUAGAUCCCAUUAAUAGUUAAAGAUAACAUAUCUUAGAAUUCUAGAUAUUAGAGAGAUUAUCUAGAGCUGUAAUCUAGAUAUUUUAUAGAUCUUUGCUGUGCUGUUUUGAAUUUGUGUUGGAGUAGAACAAUCAGAUGACAAAAGCUCAUCCCACAUGGAAAAAUCAAAGCAUUCAUUACAGAGAGAAUUUUGAAAUAAAUGCAUACAUAAAAAAUAUAUAUGCAUAUAUAAUGCAUAUGUAUAUGCAUAUAUAAUGCAUAUGUAUAUGCAUAUAAUAUAUAUAUAUAUAUAAUUGGGGUUAUAAACAAUGAAGGAAAUAGUGAUACUAUCUAUGUGGGAACAAUACUAGUAUCCUCCCUUUGGAUGAAUACAGUAGCUACAGAUGCAAUUCUGGGGACUCUGUUUAGCAAUAGCUUAACUAUUGCUUGGCUACAAGCAUGGAUAACUUGUUCAAAGAUAAUGAGGAGUUGUAAAUAUUUAAAUAAACAGGAUUUGCAACAUAAAAAGCUUUGUGACUAUGUGUCUGAAUUCUUAGAGUUUUCUCCCAGCAAGACCUUGGAUGUGGCAGACUUUUCUGUAAUGGUCCAUCUCGCCCCUAUUUCAUGAAAAGCCAGAGCUUCUCUACUUAGUUUGCUAACCCCAAAUAUAUAAAUUCAAUAGAAGUACUAGCCGGUUUUUACUGGUUUAUUUGCUUUAUCUAAAAAAAACAAGGCAUAGUUUAAAGUCUGUUUUUGAUAGCAUAACAAAACAAAGGUUCUCAUUUUAAUAAUGCAUCACAUAUACACUUGGUAACUAUUGCAUAGUAAUAAUUUCAUAACUUGAGAAAUAUAUUUAUGCAUGUAUGUGUAUAUGUUCAUAUAUAUGUUAUUUUUAAUUCAGAAGUAAAACAAAUAUUGGAAGAGGCCAAAGUUAUAAAAAUAAUUUGACCAGUAUUGGACAAUGCAAAUAACAAUUAUUUAGAAGUUUCUGUACAACAGAUGCCAUAUGUGUUACAUUUUAUUUGAUCAUCAAAAUUGUCAUAGAUAUUAUUAUCCCCAUUUCAUAGAAGAAACUGAGAUUAUAUAAUUUGUUCAACUUGACCAACUUCUUUAACUAAUACAUAGUAGAGAUAAGGUUGAAACCUCAUUAACCAACUUCUUAUAACUAAUACAUAGUAGAGAUAAGGUUGAAACCUCAUUAACCAACUUCUUAUAACUAAUACAUAGUAGAGAUAAGGUUGAAACCUCAUUAACCAACUUCUUAUAACAAAUACAUAGUAGAGUUAAGGUUGAAACCUCAUUAACCAACUGCUUAUAACUAAUACAUAGUAGAGAUAAGGUUGAAACCUCAUUAACCAACUUCUUAUAACUAAUACAUAGUAGAGAUAAGGUUGAAACCUCAUUAGGUUUGACUCCAGACCCCACCCUCUUUUGAGUGCAUCAUAAAAGGCUUUGGUCUGCCCGUGGCCAGUAACAACUUUUACUAAAUUGAUUCUUUGCUUUUUAUCUGUAAAAGGAAGUUAUUCACCUAUUUUGAUGAUCCCCAAUGUUUUUAACAUCAAUAAAUGUGUCCACCACACAUGAUAGUUUUUAAUGUUUUGUUACCGUGAUUACAGGAUUAAAAAACUACUAAUUAGUGAUACUUUUAAUUUUGAUUUUAUUAAUUAAAACACAUCUGUCUACAUCUGAAGAAUAGCACUUGUGACAACAGCAUAGACGGCUUCAUUUUGAGGAGUAAAUUACAAUUGAACAUGACCAAAGAUACAUAGAGAAGGCGUGGACCACACAAAUGUGAUUGAAAGCUGGCGUGGAGUCAUCUUAAAUUGACUUUUUCCCAAAGGGCCCCUAAAAGAGGGUAGAAUCCCAACAGAUAGAGUCUAUGGAGAGAUAGACUGCUGAGACCCAUAUUAUGGUCAGUGAAGUGCAGGCAAGGAAGGGAUCCUUAGCAAAAUGGUGAGAGGAAUGGAUGGUCUGAAAAACCCUGAAGGAACUGAAACACUCUGCAAAGGAAAGAUCAAGUAUCAGCUUUGACCCCUGCCAGACCUAGGCAGCAACAACGGCAGCUCACAAAGCACCAGAACAAACGCGCUUUCUUGUGCCCCUACAUGUCUUCCCUUCACCGUCUUGAACCCUGGUGUCAUCAUAAACUGUUGACAGAGCUCCUUGCUGCUCAAAUUUUAUGCCAGAUAAAAUAUUCACCUUCUCGGACUCCCUGGCACCAGGCAUGGCCAUGUAAUCCUACAGCACAGCUGAUGAAAGAGAAGCCAUCUUGCUGCUAUUUGACAAGCAAGAAGAUAAAAGCUUUCCUAUAAAGUUGAUGGAGCAAAAAGAUAGAAGGGGCCUAGACUCCCUACCUUCACACUUCCUGCUAUAAAAGCUUUGCUAUUAUAAGGUUAAUCUGCAGAAACAGACUUCUAUGUCAUAUGCUUAAAUGCAUCAAAAUUCAUACAAUAUCCAUUAAAUUGGUAAAAGUAUCCAUUUUAAAGGAUUAAUCUGAGGGACCCACAGACACUUAACACAAUCAAAUCUCAGAAAAAAAAUCAGUUAUUUCAUUGUGAUUUUGAGGCUGAUCUUUUAUGAUCUUUUAGUUAUCAAACUGUUAAAUACAUUUUAACUUUCAAAUUUUAUGAAUAAAGGAGAUGAAUCCUGUUAUUUUCUCAGUG